rnacentral:rRNA from 1 species
UACGGAGGGUGCAAGCGGUAAUCGAAUUUAUUGGGCGUAAAGGUCGCGUCGGCGGAGACGUAAGUCGGAUGUGAAAUCCCGGAGCUUAACUCCGGAACUGCAUUGGUAACCGCCUCCCUGGAGGAUGGACGCAGUAGGCGGAAUUCCACAUGUUGCGGUGAAAUGCGUAGAUAGGUGGAAGAACACCUGUGGCGAAAGCGGACCUCUAGUUUAUUCUUGACGCUGAGGCGCGAAAGCAAGGGGAGCAAACAGG